rnacentral:lncRNA from 1 species
AAUCAAGUUUGCAUUUGGGAAACCAUUGGAAAUCUCCUUUAGGAACCAAAAGUUUCCUAAACUUUCAUUUUUCAAUAGUGUGACUUUUCUUGCAACAAUAGAGACAUAACAAGUUUUGAUGAGAUAUGAUUUUGCUAUUGGACUCCUUUUUGACAAAUUUAUGCUUCUUAUAUGAAUGGUUUAAAGACCUUUCAUACUUUGAUGGAUCAAUAGAAAAUGCAAUCUUUGGUUGUAAGGCUUUGUCUAAUUUGACUUGAAGAUUUUU